rnacentral:lncRNA from 1 species
AACAGAACCAGGGACUAUCUGGUCCCAUUCUACUGGUGCCAUUAUUUGUUGCAUUGGGUUUCUUAGUAGUAUGAAAUAUUUGUAUUCACUUAAAGUGGAAAGACAAUCUGCACACCUGGAGGAGAUAUUUGCAACAUUUACAACUGGCAAAGGUUUAUUACCAAGAAUAUAUAAAGAAGUCUUAUAAAUCAACAAGAAAGAAGAAAAACAACAGAAAGAAAUGGACAAAAGAAAAAGCAUUUUAUAAAAGAAGAAAUGCUCAUGGCCAGCAAACAUAUGGAGAUGUUCAAACUCAUGUGAAAUGUAAAUCAAGACCCAAUAAGAUAAGCUUUUAUGUCCACUAAAAUGGCAAAAUGUUAAUAGCUAGACAAUCCAAGUAUUGGAGAACAUACAGAUCCAUGGGAUCUCUUACAUAUCGCUUAUAAGGGUACGCAUUAGGACAUAGGACACUCACUUAGAAAAAGUGUGGCAUUAUCUUGCAAAAUCAAACACUCACAUAGGCUGCUGUGCAGGUCCUGAGUCUGUUUGCCCUCAGAUCCACUCUUUGCUAUGCCCUUAUGUCCUCAGUUUUCCAGCAGGAUCUCGGCAGCCAUGUCAUCUUGCUUCCAGUUGGGCUCAGUUAAUAAAAGAGAGAGAAUGGAAGGUGGAAAGAAGGGAGAAGCCAAGGUGUUUCUCACCAGCACCCUCCCCUUCUCCUCUCAGGUAACAUCCCCUGUGGUGGCCACAGCUCUCCGAUGGGUCCAGUUCCCACAGGAAAGCCAGCCAUGAUUCUAACUUCUACCAGGUGACCCUGGCCCUGGGCUCUGGUGACACUAACCUUUUGUUUCUCUAGUCCUGGGGAGGGGUAGUAACAGCUUCCUGCUAUUAUUAAUUUAUGGAUUGCCUCAUUGCCUCCUGUGAGGCUUCUCAGCUAUUGAUUACCAUACUACUCAGCAAUAAAAAGGAAAAAACUAUUGAUACAUGCAACAACUUUGUCGGACCACAAGAGAAUUUUACCAACUAAAAAAGCCAGUCUCACAUUGUUACAUACUAUAUGAUUCCACUUACAUAACCUUCUAGAAAUGACAAAAUUAUUGAGGUGAAGAACAGAUUAGUGGUUGCCAAGGGUUAAAGACAGGGUUGGGGUUGGAGAAAGAAAUCAGUGUACCUAAAAAGAAGCAGCCAGAGGGAUCUUUGUGGUGACGGGACAGUUCUGUAUCUUGAUUGUGGUGGUGGUUAUACAAAUCUACGUGUAAUAAAGUUUUAUGUGUGCAUAGAACUAUGUACAUACUCAAACAAAUGCAUGUAACCCUGGUGAAAUCUGAAUAAGGUCUGUGGAUUGUGCCAAUACCAGUGACCUGGUUUUGAUACUGUAUUAUAGCUAUCUAAGACAUUAUUAUCAGGAGAAAAUGGGGGAAAGGUACAUGUACUUUUCUGUACUAUUUUUGCAACUUCUCGUGAAUCUG